UGCAGUCAAGGGCGCUGUGGUCUUUCGGGAUUACAGGGCACUGGCGCACGGGUGAGUAACGCGUAGGCAACCUGUCCUAUGGUGGGGGACAACAUCGGGAAACCGGUGCUAAUACCGCAUGUGGAUGCGAUCUCGCAUGGGAUUGUAUCCAAAGAUCUUCGGAUCGCUAUAGGGUGGGCCUGCGUCGUAUUAGUUAGUUGGUGGGGUAGAAGCCCACCAAGACGAUGAUACGUAGGGGGUCUGAGAGGAUGAUCCCCCACACGGGGACUGAGACACGGCCCCGACUCCUACGGGAGGCAGCAGUGAGGAAUCUUGCGCAAUGGAGGAAACUCUGACGCAGCCACGCCGCGUGCAGGAAGACGGUUCUCUGAAUUGUAAACUGCUUUUGACAGGGAAGAGUGUCUGGGUUUCGACCUAGAAGAGACGGUACCUGUUCGAAUAAGCACCGGCUAACUCCGUGCCAGCAGCCGCGGUAAUACGGAGGGUGCAAGCGUUGUCCGGAAUUAUUGGGUGUAAAGGGUGCGCAGGCGGGAAUGUAAGUCGGGGGUGAAAGGCUACCGCUCAACGGUAGGAUUGCCUUCGAUACUGCAUUUCUUGAGUAUGGAAGAGGUCGAUGGAAUUGGUGGUGUAGCGGUGAAAUGCAUAGAUAUCACCAAGAACACCGGUGGUGAAGACGCUCGGCUGGUCCAUUACUGACGCUCAGGCACGAGAGCGUGGGGAGCGAACAGGAUUAGAUACCCUGGUAGUCCACGCUGUAAACGAUGCAUGCUAGGUGUUGGCCGGGGUUAGGCCCCGAUCAGUGCUGUAGUUAACGCGUUAAGCAUGCCACCUGGGGAGUACGUCGGCAACGAUGAAACUCAAAGGAAUUGACGGGGGCCCGCACAAGCGGUGGAGCAUGUGGCUUAAUUCGAUGCAACGCGAAGAACCUUACCCAGGCUAAAUCACAGAUGCAACACUUGGAAACAGGUGCCCCCUUCGGGGCGUUUGUGAAGGUGCUGCAUGGCUGUCGUCAGCUCGUGCCGUGAGGUGUUGGGUUAAGUCCCGCAACGAGCGCAACCCCUAUGGCUAGUUACCAGCACGUUAAGGUGGGGACUCUAGUCAGACUGCCUACGCAAGUAGAGAGGAAGGUGGGGACGACGUCAAGUCAUCAUGGCCCUUACGUCUGGGGCUGCACACGUGCUACAAUGGAGCGUACAGCAGGUAGCUGUCUGGCAACAGAUGGCCAAUCGUUAAAACGCUUCCCAGUUCGGAUUGUGGUCUGCAACUCGACCACAUGAAGGUGGAAUCGCUAGUAAUCGCGGAUCAGCAUUUGUCGCGGUGAAUACGUUCCCGGGCCUUGUACACACCGCCCGUCAAGCGAUGGAAGUGGGGAGUACCUAACCCAGCUGAGCUAACCCUUCGGGGAGGCAGGUGGC
rnacentral:rRNA from 1 species